rnacentral:rRNA from 1 species
UGGGGAAUAUUGCACAAUGGAGGGAACUCUGAUGCAGCGACGCCGCGUGAGUGAUGAAGGAAUUCGUUUCGUAAAACUCUGUUCUAUGGGAAGAAAAGGACUGUACCAUAGGAGAAAGCUCCGGCUAAAUACGUGCCAGCAGCCGCGGUAAUACGUAUGGAGCGAGCGUUGUCCGGAAUUAUUGGGCGUAAAGGGUGCGCAGGCGGCUUUACAAGUUGGAUGUGAAAUAUUGUGGCUCAACCACAAACGUGCAUCCAAAACUGCAAAGCUUGGGUUAAGGAGAGAUAAGUGGAAUUCCUGGUGUAGCGGUGAAAUACGUAGAUAUCAGGAGGAAUACCGGUGGCGAAGGCGACUUACUAGACAUAAACUGACGCUCAGGCACGAAAGCGUGGGGAGCAAACAGG